CACUGUCAGAGUGUUAAAAAUGUUAACUCUUUCAAAAGUGUUAAUUUAACACUUUAGCAGUGAUUCCCAUAUGUACUCUGAGUAAGUGUUAAUUUUAACUCUGAGGGAGUUAAAUCCACUCUUUUAAAUUUGCUGUGUAGGGAGACCAAACUAGCAGUUUAUAAAACUGGUUAAAAUGAAGCUUUGGCAGUUUAGCAAAAAGGUUUUGCACAAAUUAGACAAAAAGACAGUGGUGCAGGGUGUGCGAUAUGUCGUCUGCGAUAAUAUCGUAAUUGUUAUUUUAACGAUGUGCGAUUUGACAUUAUCAGUAGCAAAAUCUAGCGAUAUUUAUGAGGUGUGUGCGCCUAAACGUUUUUUAAAGACAUUUCUUCCACUCGCGAGGCGGACCAGACGAGGAUGUUUCUUUUUAAAAGGGAAACGCCUAAAGUUAAGUGUUUUAUCUCAUUUAUCAUAUGUAUUUCACAACAUCAUAUUGAUUUAUAGCGAUAUUUGUGUGAUGUGUACUCCUAAACUUUUUCUCAGAGAGAUAUUUUCCUUCACUCGUGAUGCGGAGAAGACGGGGAAAUUGGUUUUAUCAAGGAAAACACCGAAAGUAAGUGUUUAACCUCAUUUACAUUUUGUAUUUUAUAAAAUAAUAUUAUUUUAUUUUGAUAUUUUUAUGCUGUGCGCGCCUAAACGUUUCUCACAUAUGCAUUUGAAUGGCUAUGUAUUGACGCGGAAGUCGCUUUUAACAGGGGAAACAUAAGAAAGAGACAUUUUCUUUCACUGGAGAUGUGGAGCGGACGGGGAAGUUGGUCUUCUCGAGGAAAACACAGAGUUAAGUUGUUUGUCAGUCAAAGUGAUUUUGUGCCCUCACAAGUCUUGGAAUAUGGCACAUGAGUCGCAUAAACUACUUUAGACACUUUAUUAUCUUUUUUUUUUUUUUUUUAAAGCAUGAACGUGUUUUGUGUUCAAUUGUGCAAAUGUACAAUUUUAAGUUGUUCCUUUAAUAUUGUUACAGAUGGUUCAUGAUGGCUUAACAGAAAAAUCGAAAGGAGAAGAUGUGCUUGAAGAGUAUGAAGACACCGAUACAAUAAGUGGGAUGAGAAGAGCUUUGUUAGGACAUAGAGACAUGGGAGCACUUUUGUGAUGCUGCAAGUGGGAGUUGGGUAUCUUGCUUGGCUGAAAACUGCGGACAAACACAUCUCGUCUUGCUGAAACUACUCUUUACAAGUUUUGGUCCAAACACCAUUAGCAGAGACUUUGUUCAGUGAGCAUUAACAUGCAUUCUGCCUGGAUGCUAAUGAAUGGGAUGCUGUUGUUUAAGCUGAUAAAUGUAAGCGUUAUAAACCUCAUGACAUUAAGUGUACAUACGGACCAAAUAAGAAUAUAUAUUUUGUGCCUUUGCACUGAU